rnacentral:rRNA from 1 species
AUUGAACGCUGGCGGCAUGCCUUACACAUGCAAGUCGAACGGUAGAGGGGCAACCCUCGAGAGUGGCGAACGGGUGAGUAAUGCAUCGGAACGUGCCCAGUCGUGGGGGAUAACGUGGCGAAAGCUACGCUAAUACCGCAUACGACCCGAGGGUGAAAGCGGGGGACUCGCAAGGGCCUCGCGCGAUUGGAGCGGCCGAUGUCAGAUUAGGUAGUUGGUGGGGUAAAGGCCUACCAAGCCGACGAUCUGUAGCUGGUCUGAGAGGACGACCAGCCACACUGGGACUGAGACACGGCCCAGACUCCUACGGGAGGCAGCAGUGGGGAAUUUUGGACAAUGGGCGCAAGCCUGAUCCAGCCAUGCCGCGUGCGGGAAGAAGGCCUUCGGGUUGUAAACCGCUUUUGUCAGGGAAGAAAUCUUCUGGGUUAAUACCUCGGGAGGAUGACGGUACCUGGAGAAUAAGCACCGGCUAACUACGUGCCAGCAGCAGCCGCCG